CGCUAAUCAGUUUAAGCGGGAAUGUGGAGAAGCGCGUCGCUUUUCUCAACCAGUCACUGGGGUGCGCGAUGACAAACGGAUUGUCUAUUAUGUAGGAGCUCGGGCUAUUCAACGUAGUCAUUGACUCUUUUGACGCAACAUUAAGAUAUGCUACAUGAUUUGACAAUUGUGUGAAUCACCGUUGUACGAAGAAAUAUCGACUGUAGACUGCUGGAGUAAAUACAUUUGCAAACAUGCGACAAUUGUCGCUACACAGGGAUAGGGUCAACUAUAGACUUCACUGCAUGGGCUGGAUGGCGAUCCUGUGAAAAUGUUAGCACAGAGAAAGACGAUGUAGAGAGAAACCUUUGGUUCUUCUGAAAUAUUUGAUGAUUCGACACUUUGUUUUAUCAUAAUGUUUUUGCCAGAUGCAAUUUUAUGCUUUAUGCAAAUUCUGAUUUUGACAACCGAUGGCGCAAAGUUAACACUUAACCGAUUUGUACUAAGUUCAGUUAGCUAUUUAUCCCAGUUCAUUGUGUAUAUUAAAUAUGGGUAUUAAUAAUAUUAUUCAAAUUUCAAGUUUUUUUACAAUUUUACUGAUUUAUGCUUUACACAACUGAACCUAUAAGCAAGUCCAAUAGAAAUUUAUGUGCGUUUUAGGUCAUUUACCAUGUGAAAGUGCGUUGCAUUUUUGAUAUUUCUUAUUUUUUUAUUUAUUUUGUGUUGUUUUAUCCGUCUAUUUUUUUUUCUUUGCUUUUUUUGUCACCCUACUUGUGUCGCGUGUUCGUAGCCAGACGUAGAUACAGCGGGGGUGCAGAUAUCUAAAACAGCAUUAGAUUUGAGGUAAAACAAAGCCGUGUAUUGGUAACAUCGCAAGAGACUUAGACGACAAUACACCAAUAUUAUUGAAACCACUUAUAUUAUGGCAAUUAUUAAGUCACCCGUUCAAUGUAAAUAAGUAACUCGGAAACUUCGACGGGGUUCUGAUGACUUCGAGAAAUCCAAAAACUGUAAGUUUUACAUUUUAGCUUUCGACUUUCACUCUAAAUUCUUUUGGGACAAAAAUUUCCCUUUUUGUA